ensembl:lncRNA
GACCAGGGUAAUAUAAUGACAGUAGAUGGUAGACCAGGGUAAUAUCAUGAUAGUAGAUGGUAGACCAGGGUAAUAUAAUGACAGUAGAUGGUCGACCAGGGUAAUAUAAUGACAGUAGAGGGUAAUAUAAUGACAGUAGAUGGUAGACCAGGGUAAUAUAAUGACAGUAGAGGGUAGACCCGGGUAAUAAAAUGACAGUAGAUGGUAGAACAGGUUAAUAUAAUGACAGUAGAUGGUAGACCAGGGUAAUAUAAUGACAGUAGAUGGUAGAGCAGGGUAAUAUAAUGACAGUAGAUGGUCGACCAUGGUAAUAUAAUGGCAGUAGAGGGUAAUAUAAUAACAGUAGAUGGUAGACCGGGGUAAUAUAAUGACAGUAGAGGGUAGGCCAGGGUAAUAUAAUGACAGUAGAUGGUCGACCAUGGUAAUAUAAUGACAAGAGAGGGUAAUAUAAUAACAGUAGAUGGUAGACCGGGGUAAUAUAAUGACAGUAGAAGGGUAGGCCAGGGUAAUAUAAUGACAGUAGAUGGUAGACCAGGGUAAUAUAUUGACAGUAGAUGGUAGACCAGGUUAAUAUAAUGACAGUAGAUGGUAGACCAGGGUAAUAUAAUGACAGUAGAUGGUAGACCAGUGUAAUAGAAUGACAGUAGAUGGUAGACCAGGGUAAUAUAAUGACAGUAGAUGGUAGACCAUGGUAAUAUAAUGACAGUAGAGAUACCAGGGUUCUAUAAUGACAGUAUAGGGUAGACCAGGGUAAUAUAAUGACAGAAGAUGUUAGACCAGGGUAAUAUAAUGACAGUAGAUGGUAGACCAGGGUAAUAUAAUGACAGUAGAUGGUAGACCAGG